rnacentral:tRNA from 1 species
CCUGGUGGCUCAGAGGGUAAAGCAUCUGCCUACAAUGCUGGAGACCCAGGUUCGAUCCCUGGGUCAGGA